UACGAAGGGGGCUAGCGUUGUCCGGAAUCAUUGGGCGUAAAGAGCGCGUAGGCGGCCCGGUAAGUCCGCUGUGAAAGUCGGGGGCUCAACCCUCGAAUGCCGGUGGAUACUGUCGGGCUAGAGUGCGGAAGAGGCGAGUGGAAUUCCUGGUGUAGCGGUGAAAUGCGCAGAUAUCAGGAGGAACACCAAUUGCGAAGGCAGCUCGCUGGGACGUUACUGACGCUGAGACGCGAAAGCGUGGGGAGCAAACAGG
rnacentral:rRNA from 1 species